rnacentral:rRNA from 1 species
GACGAACCGUGCGAACGUUAUUCGGAAUCACUGGGCUUAAAGCGCGUGUAGGCGGGAGGGCACGUCCGUCGCUGAAAUCCCCCGGCUCAACCGGGGAACGGGCGCGGAUACGACCUUCCUUGAGGGGCGUAGGGGGACCUGGAACUUCCGGUGGAGCGGUGAAAUGCGUAGAGACCCGGAGGAACACCAGUGGCGAAGGCGGCGUCCUGGCCUGCGACUGACGCUGUGGCGCGAAAGCUAGGGGGGCGAACGGG